rnacentral:lncRNA from 1 species
GAAACACCUGGAGGAAGAAGGGUGAAUGGGAAACACCUGGAGGAAGAAGGGAGUGGGGAGGAGUUCCAAGCAGAAGGGACCGAGCCGCAUGGACUGGGAAUUCUAAGUGGCUGGAUAGAAAGCGUCUGUCAAAGACGGUGACACGUUAGGCCAGAGAGAUUUGGGGACCUGAAGGCCUCGAAGGUCUCUCUCUGUGUUACUUUCAUGGGCGUGGAGUACAGAUGUGUCUCAGAGCACCCCUACACUUGUGCAGUGCACAACUCAAAUAACUGAGCAGGGUGACCCUGCCCCACUAAGGGAGAUGAGCUUUAUCUUGAGGGGAAUGGGCAGCCUUCAGAGGGUUUGAAGCAGAAGAUUGACAUGGCUAUAAAUGUGAGUUUAAAAGAUCACAGUGGCUGUGGAGCAUGUGUUAGAGGAAGAAAAGGCGGAGGCAGGAAAGCAGUUGGGAGGAAGCCUUGUGAAUGCAGGUGAGGCUUGUCAGGGCUGCUUUCAGGCAGUGCUGGGGAGAAUGGAGGGGCGCAUGCUGUGUGGGGCCCGCAGUGGCUUCUGUAGGAGCUUGAGAGUGACAGCACAAGGAAUGAAGAAAAUGUCCAAUCCACUGUAAACAUCUUCGAGCCUACAGAAGACCUGUUUCCUGCUCUACAAGAAGGAAUGGGGGUACUGAUAUUUAGGAUGAAUCUGCUCUAUAUCAGAUGCUUUUUCCACGUUUCCUAUAUUCUCAGGUGGCUUCAUUGCGCCAGACAGCCCCACCGUAGCCUGGGCCCUGAGCUUCUGCCUACCAGGCUGUCAGCAACAUCUCAGCAACAGGCUCCAGCCAGUUGGCACAUACCUGGCUCAGCUCUACAGGUAGCAGUGAUGCUUUUAGGACCUCGUUUGUUAUUUUUCAGACCUAACCUCAUUGCUCUGCACUUCAGGGGCUGAAAUGCAACUCCCUGUGGGGCCCAAGGGGACUUUUGGCCUCUCUGCAGCCUGCUGGUCCCUGGAGGAUCUACCUCGUGCUGCUCACCCAAACCCUGCACGGCUGGCAAAUCCCUUCUGGGUUUUGUUUGAGGCACCAGAGGCUCCCCUGAGGCAUUGAAUUCUGAUUUUAUUGUUGCUGUUGCUGUUGAUGUUUGUGUCCAUACAUUUUGCAACUUCCCACAAACUUGUACAUCCAAAUGCUUUGCCCUG